AAACAGCAGCAGCAGAGGAAACUGGGGCCCAGAGGGUCAAGAAGUUCAUCAGGAUCUGAGAGGCCCCGGACAGACCCUCCCCACCGACCUCCUGGUCAACCUAGGACAUUAGGGAGGCACGGUUUUCAGAGGGCCGCGGUAAACCUCUCGCUGGGAAACACGGUCCCUCCUGCGGGUGCUCUUGGGAAAGCAGGGAGCAGAGCUGGGAGGGAAGAACCCCUGCUUUGGUCUCUGCCAGGUCCCUGUGACUCGGGCGCCUGAGACAACUCAGUCCUCCGACCCUGGGACUCUGCAUCUGCGAAAUGGAGGUUGUUUCAGGUACUGCUCUUUCACCAUGGAACCUUCUUCCACCUAAUUCCGGUGAGCUUCACUGAACUAAGUUGUCUUCAGAAAGAAGUGUUUCCAGAUUGGCCCUCAACAGCACAUCCAUCACUGCUGGUCACCCCACUUCAUUUUUCCUCCUGGACCUUGUCACUCCCUGGCAUCACAUAUAUACUGAUUUUCUCUCUUCCCUGGCGGGGGAGGGGGCAAAAGCGCUGAGUGGGCAGGGACUCUACUUUGUUUUCUAAGAAACUUCUAAUGCCCAAAAGAGUGCCUAACCAUGGAAGAUGUUCUGGAAAUAUCUGUUGAAUGACUGAAUGGCGGGAAUGACCUUGGAAUUCCAGGCACUGCUGGGGCAACAAAGACCUUGUUUUGUUUCAGGAAGAGGCUGGUUGCGUGCAGUUUGGGUUUUUGGAGGUGGAGAACUAACGGCUUCGGAACAGGCUUCAUUUGCUUUCUCUUCAUCCCAGACUGGGCCCUGUGGUUACAAACAAGCGAGAGCCCACCCCUAUUUGUUCUCGGAGGAAACUAUAAAGUCACCACAAAUUGGAGUGCGGAUGUUGCAGUUUACGAGGUUAAGUGCACUAAGCUGUGUAAAUUGGGAGUGUUUCUAGCCUGGCUGUGCCCUCAAAGCAUUAGAGAGCCAUUUUCCCUAAAUGUGUGUUUGGGGAACUCAGCUAAACUGUGGCUUUCGCAACACAGUGUCACGUUGAAGUUGAAUAAUCCAGACUAUGGGAAAUCUAUGUGCAGUUACUAUGGCUGCCUUGUCUGGGCCCAGAAACCAGGCCCCAUCCAUCCAUCCGUCCAUCCGUCCAUCCAUCCAUUUGACAAGUCCAUACUGAGCGCCUCCUGUGGGCCAGACACCAGAGUGGAUAAGGCCAACACAGACUCCAAGAACAGGAUGAAUAUUCCUGCUGUGGGGACUGCUUGGGCCUGGGGCUGGGAGGAGCAAAGGGCACUCUCUGUGGGUCACGGAGGCUGUGGGUCAGGGAAGUGAAGAGACCUGGAGAUCUGGGGAAUGGGGAGGUCAUAGGAAUCAGGCCUCAGCCUUAUGGAAUCAGGCAGGGGCCACGAGGGUAGGAUUUAGGGGUUUGUGAGCCCCAAGAGUCACUGCUGCUGGAGGGCAUGUCACACCUUCUCAGGACUCUCUUGAUGGUCUCCCAAGCCUUCAGUAACAUUCUUGGGGCUUCCAGGUACACACAGGUGCAGGGAGAGGGGGAGAAAUAGAGAAGGUGGUUACCAGACAACGAGAGGUGAGCUGGAGCAGCAAAUGUUAGAGAGGUGGAUGCAGACAGGGUGACAAGUGGAUAUACAGGACACCCAGAAAUACUCCCUAAAACAGACAACUAUCCUUUCAAAUGAAUGAAUGAAUGGAAAAGCUUUAGAGUGUCAAACAUAAAGAGGGUCCUGGAAGCCUGGGUGUUAGGGAGCUCCAAAGCUGCAGGGAGUCCUCAGGUCAUUUGCACAUAUAUCUUCAUGAUCUAGAUCAGAGUUUCUCAAUAGCAGCACUGUUGACAUUUUGGGCAGAAUUAUUUUUUUGCUGGGACGGGACCUGUCCUGUGCAUUGUAGGAUGUUUGGCAGCAACCUUGGCCUCUACCCAAGAGAUAUCAAUAGCAACUCUCUCCUCUAGUGGUGACAACCAGAAAUGUCUCCUGAGGGAACAAAGUUGUCCAGGUCCAGAAAUAAAGGUCUAGAAGAAGAAGGAAACAAGCUGUGGGCUCUCAUGGUGAGGAGUUGUAACUGAGACCUCUGUGAAAAACCAGGGCUUUCAAAGGCUGCACUUUGGGUGAAAGGAUAGAGAAGAAAAAGUCCAUCCAGUGGCAAAGAGAAAUGGUAAGAAUAAUUGUCUAUUUCAGCAUGUGCUCCAGGUAGAAAGAAAAGCCUUUACAUUUGUAACAAUAUGCCCCCACACACAGGGGUUUAGGGUAAACAUUUGCAUUACCUAUGUGUUCCAGGAAACUCCCAAGUGGUGAAAUUAACCCCAAGUAUGUUGGUAGUACCUGAGGCACCUGGCAGAAGCAAAAGUUAAUUCUCCCUGGAGAGAUACACCCUUGACUCCUGCUGUAAGUGUUCUCAGGGAUAGAGCUCAACCAAGCUUGAGUUUACAAUACAAAAUUACAAAGCACAUGAGGAAUCUCAUGAGUGAGUCGGUGAAAACAACAAAUGGUAGAAUUAGCCUUCAAAACUUAAGAUAUCUAGAUGAUCAGAUCCGGGAUAUUAAAAAAAAUUGCUUGUUUAAAAUGUUUAGAGAAAUAAAGAUGCUACCAGGAAAACCAGGCAAAUAUGACAAUGAACAAAGACUCAGAAAUGAAAGUGGUAAUGUUGAAAUUUAAACCCAAUGUUUGGUUAAACAACAAAUUAGAUACCGUUGAAGAGAUAGUUAGUGAACUGGAAAAUAGAUUUGAAGAAAUAAUUGGCCAUAACGCAGCACACAGAGAAUACGAACAAGUGGGAAAAAGACAUGGGAUAUAGAAUGAGGAGUUUAACAAAUAUCAUCUAGGAAUUCCUGCAGAGAUAGCUGAGAGAACUGGGGGAGGCAAUUUUAACAAUAUGUUGAUGAGAGAUUUUUCCAGAAAUGAUAAAAAAAAAAAAAAA